GACGGAGGAUGCAAGCGUUAUCCGGAAUGAUUGGGCGUAAAGCGUCCGCAGGUGGCAGUUCAAGUCUGCUGUCAAAGACCGGGGCUUAACUUCGGAAAGGCAGUGGAAACUGAACAGCUAGAGUAUGGUAGGGGCAGAGGGAAUUCCUGGUGUAGCGGUGAAAUGCGUAGAUAUCUGGAGGAACACCGGUGGCGUAGGCGGCGUUCUGGACUGCAACUGACACUGAAAAACGAAAGCCAGGGGAGCAAACGGG
rnacentral:rRNA from 1 species